GAUCAUUACCGGGCCAGCGGGGCGCUCCGGCGCCCGCAACCCCCCACCCUUGUGCGUCCCGAAAGCGUUUGGCUUGAGCGGUGCGCCCCGCCCCUCCCCUCGCGAGCCGGGGGGAAGGGGGGGGGCCCACCGGGCGGCCGGAACACCAACCCUGAAGCGAACCUUGCAGCCCGAAGCGGAAGCGAACAGCCGAAAACUUUCAACAACGGAUCUCUUGGCUCUGGCAACGAUGAAGAACGCAGCGAAAUGCGAUAAGUAAUGUGAAUUGCAGAAUUCAGUGAAUCAUCGAAUCUUUGAACGCACAUUGCGCCCCCUGGCAUUCCGGGGGGCACGCCUGUCCGAGCGCCAUUUCGACCUCUCAAGCCCAGCUUGGCCGUGGGCCGCGCCCGCGCGGCGGGCCCGAAACCAGUGGGCGCCGCCCGCCGGUUCCCAGCGUCGCAAGACCCUCGCUGGGAGCGCCGGCGGCCGGCCGCCCGGAACCUCCAACCCACCCAGGUUUGGCCUCGGAUCAGGCGGGGAUACCCGCUGAACUUAAGCAUAUCAAUAAGCGGAGGAAAAGAAACCAACAGGGAUUGCCCCAGUAACGGCGAGUGAAGCGGCAGCAGCUCAAAUUUGAAAUCUGGCCCCUCCCGGGUCCCGAGUUGUAAUUUGCAGAGGGCGCUUCGGGCGAAGCCCCGGUCCAAGUCCCUUGGAACAGGACGUCAGAGAGGGUGAGAACCCCGUGUCCGACCGGCGGCGCUCCCCGCGUGAAGCCCCUUCGACGAGUCGAGUUGUUUGGGAAUGCAGCUCCAAAUGGGUGGUAAAUUCCAUCUAAAGCUAAAUACCGGCCAGAGACCGAUAGCGCACAAGUAGAGUGAUCGAAAGAUGAAAAGCACUUUGGAAAGAGAGUCAAACAGUACGUGAAAUUGUUGAAAGGGAAGCGCUUGCGGCCAGACUUGCCCGCGGGUGUUCAGCCCGCCCUCGCGGCGGGCGCACUCUCCCGCGGUCAGGCCAGCAUCGGCUCCGGCGGCCGGACAAAGGCCCGGGGAACGUGGCCCCCUCCGGGGGGUGUUAUAGCCUCGGGCGCAAUGCGGCCAGCCGGGGCCGAGGACCGC
rnacentral:rRNA from 1 species